rnacentral:sRNA from 1 species
CUGUCACCUCCGCUGGAAGGAGUGGAACCCAGACUUGCUGGUCUGAUCCAUGCACAAGGCGGGGCUGCUAGGCCACUGUGCCCGGGCACGGAAGUCGGUGCGGAUGGCCAGCUCCGGGAUGACCCGCCGGGACCCGCUCACAAAUAAGGUGGCCCUGGUAACGGCCUCCACCGACGGCUUACAGAGUCAAGUCCCUGGGAACCUCAGGAAGCAGCCCACCAUGUUUCAACCACUUACUAUGUGCCAUUUCCUGUGUUCAGAGCCUUACACAGGUUAUCUCUAGACCUGACAACAACCCAAGCAAGGCAAGGACUAUUCUCUCGGUCUGCAGACGCUGGCUCAGAUAGCUGGAGCAACUUCCCAAGGUCCCACAGCCAGUAAGGAAAGACCCAGACCUCCCAAGCUCCCUUCCUUUAUUGGCUGCCUGUGGACUACCGGGGCUUCAGUCCUUACAAUGUCAGUAAAACAGCCUUGCUGGGCCUGACCAAGACCCUGGCCAUAGAGCUGGCCCCAAGGAACAUUAGGGUGAACUGCCUAGCACCUGGACUUAUCAAGACUAGCUUCAGCAGGAUGCUCUGGAUGGACAAGGAAAAAGAGGAAAGCAUGAAAGAAACCCUGCGGAUAAGAAGGUUAGGCGAGCCAGAGGAUUCUGUUGGCAUCGUGUCUUUCCUGUGCUCUGAAGAUGCCAGCUACAUCACUGGGGAAACAGUGGUGGUGGGUGGAGGAACCCCGUCCCGCCUCUGAGGACUCGGAGACAGCCCACGGGCCAGAGUUGGGCUCUAGCUCCUGGUGCUGUUCCUGCAU